rfam:Mycobacterium llatzerense strain CLTC14 Mllat_contig000017, whole genome shotgun sequence.
AGUGCCACCGGGUCAACCCCUCGGUUCACCACCAGAUAGUCGCGGAGGGCGAUGCCGUGCCGGUUCUC